GAUGAACGCUAGCGACAGGCUUAACACAUGCAAGUCGAGGGGCAGCACAGGUAGCAAUACCGGGUGGCGACCGGCGCACGGGUGAGUAACGCGUAUGCAACUUGCCUAUCAGAGGGGGAUAACCCGGCGAAAGUCGGACUAAUACCGCAUGAAGCAGGGAUCCCGCAUGGGAAUAUUUGCUAAAGAUUCAUCGCUGAUAGAUAGGCAUGCGUUCCAUUAGGCAGUUGGCGGGGUAACGGCCCACCAAACCGACGAUGGAUAGGGGUUCUGAGAGGAAGGUCCCCCACAUUGGUACUGAGACACGGACCAAACUCCUACGGGAGGCAGCAGUGAGGAAUAUUGGUCAAUGGCCGAGAGGCUGAACCAGCCAAGUCGCGUGAGGGAUGAAGGUUCUAUGGAUCGUAAACCUCUUUUAUAAGGGAAUAAAGUGCGGGACGUGUCCCGUUUUGUAUGUACCUUAUGAAUAAGGAUCGGCUAACUCCGUGCCAGCAGCCGCGGUAAUACGGAGGAUCCGAGCGUUAUCCGGAUUUAUUGGGUUUAAAGGGUGCGUAGGCGGCCUUUUAAGUCAGCGGUGAAAGUCUGUGGCUCAACCAUAGAAUUGCCGUUGAAACUGGGGGGCUUGAGUAUGUUUGAGGCAGGCGGAAUGCGUGGUGUAGCGGUGAAAUGCAUAGAUAUCACGCAGAACCCCGAUUGCGAAGGCAGCCUGCCAAGCCAUGACUGACGCUGAUGCACGAAAGCGUGGGGAUCAAACAGGAUUAGAUACCCUGGUAGUCCACGCAGUAAACGAUGAUCACUAGCUGUUUGCGAUACACUGUAAGCGGCACAGCGAAAGCGUUAAGUGAUCCACCUGGGGAGUACGCCGGCAACGGUGAAGCUCAAAGGAAUUGACGGGGGCCCGCACAAGCGGAGGAACAUGUGGUUUAAUUCGAUGAUACGCGAGGAACCUUACCCGGGUUUGAACGCAUUCGGACCGAGGUGGAAACACCUUUUCUAGCAAUAGCCGUUUGCGAGGUGCUGCAUGGUUGUCGUCAGCUCGUGCCGUGAGGUGUCGGCUUAAGUGCCAUAACGAGCGCAACCCUUGCCACUAGUUACUAACAGGUAAAGCUGAGGACUCUGGUGGGACUGCCAGCGUAAGCUGCGAGGAAGGCGGGGAUGACGUCAAAUCAGCACGGCCCUUACAUCCGGGGCGACACACGUGUUACAAUGGCGUGGACAAAGGGAAGCCACCUGGCGACAGGGAGCGAAUCCCCAAACCACGUCUCAGUUCGGAUCGGAGUCUGCAACCCGACUCCGUGAAGCUGGAUUCGCUAGUAAUCGCGCAUCAGCCAUGGCGCGGUGAAUACGUUCCCGGGCCU
rnacentral:rRNA from 1 species